AAACUUUGAGCGGUGGAUCACUCGGCUCGUGCGUCGAUGAAGAGCGCAG
rnacentral:rRNA from 3 species